rnacentral:misc_RNA from 1 species
GCAGUCGGGCAACUUCGAGCCGGUUCACCGCGCGCUCUCCGAUCAUAGAAAAAAAACGACACCGACUACUCCGGCGAAGCUAAAGGCAGAGUGGCAGGCAUUCGCUGACAUGAACUACGAUCUCGAUUCGAUUCUCCAGAUUCCGCCGGUGUUCGAUCCGGCGCCAAGC